rnacentral:rRNA from 1 species
UACGUAGGGUGCAAGCGUUGUCCGGAAUUAUUGGGCGUAAAGAGCUCGUAGGCGGUCUGUCGCGUCGGCUGUGAAAUCCCGAGGCUCAACCUCGGGUCUGCAGUCGAUACGGGCAAACUAGAGUAUUGCAGGGGAGACUGGAAUUCCUGGUGUAGCGGUGGAAUGCGCAGAUAUCAGGAGGAACACCGGUGGCGAAAGCGGGUCUCUGGGCAGUAACUGACGCUGAGGAGCGAAAGCGUGGGGAGCAAACAGG